GCCUUCGUGGUGUAGAGGUCAGCACACUCGAUGCGUAUUCGAGAGGUCCGUGGUUCAAGUCCGGGUAAGGGCA
rnacentral:tRNA from 1 species